rfam:Glossina fuscipes fuscipes unplaced genomic scaffold Scaffold268, whole genome shotgun sequence.
AUAUUGCAAGUCCAAAACUAAAAUCAGAAAGGCAUAAUAUUACACCCUCUUUGAUAUUCAACUGGACAAUAUCAAAUUUUAUGAUUUACUAUUCCUCUUAAGGAUAUCGGCUUAAAGAUAAACUCCUUAAUAAAGUUCAAAAAUCAACAUUUUCAUGUA